GACGAACGCUGGCGGCGUGCUUAACACAUGCAAGUCGAACGGAAAGGCCCUGCUUUUGUGGGGUGCUCGAGUGGCGAACGGGUGAGUAACACGUGAGUACCCUGCCCUUGCCUUUGGGAUAACUUCAGGCAACUUGGGCUAAUACCGGCUAGGAGCUCCUGCUGCAUGGUGGGCGUUGGAUAGUUUCGGCGGUUGGGGAUGGACUCGCGGCUUAUCAGCUUGUUGGUGGGGUAGUGGCUUACCAAGGCUUUGACGGGUAGCCGGCCUGAGAGGGUGACCGGCCACAUUGGGACUGAGAUACGGCCCAGACUCCUACGGGAGGCAGCAGUGGGGAAUAUUGCACAAUGGGCGGAAGCCUGAUGCAGCAACGCCGCGUGCGGGAUGACGGCCUGCGGGUUGUAAACCGCUUUCGCCUGUGACGAAGCGUGAGUGACGGUAAUGGGUAAAGAAGCACCGGCUAACUACGUG
rnacentral:rRNA from 1 species